UACAGAGGGUGCGAGCGUUGUCCGGAAUCACUGGGCGUAAAGGGCGCGUAGGCGGUUCGUUAAGUCCUGUGUGAAAUCCCCCGGCUCAACUGGGGAACUGCACAGGAAACUAGCGGGCUUGAGUUCGGGAGAGGGAAGCGGAAUUCCGGGUGUAGCGGUGAAAUGCGUAGAUAUCCGGAGGAACACCGGUGGCGAAGGCGGCUUCCUGGACCGACACUGACGCUGAGGCGCGAAAGCUAGGGGAGCAAACGGG
rnacentral:rRNA from 1 species